CUCCAUUGAAGAGCUGGAGGACCUUUACAUGGUGUUUAAGGCCAAGCACCUGGCUAGCCAGUACUGGGGGUGCAGCCGCACAAUGGCCGGCCGUCGGGACCCCAGCCUGCCCUACCUGGAGCAGUACCGGAUUGAUGCCAGCCAGUUCCGGGAACUCUUUGCCAGCCUGACACCCUGGGCCUGUGGCUCCCACACACCUCUGCUGGCAGGGCGCAUGUUCAGGCUCCUGGACGAAAACAAGGACUCGCUGAUCAACUUCAAGGAGUUCGUGACAGGGAUGAGCGGGAUGUACCACGGGGACCUGACAGAGAAGCUCAAGGUGCUCUACAAGCUACACCUUCCCCCAGCUCUGAGCCCAGAGGAAGCCGAGUCAGCCCUGGAGGCGGCCCAUUAUUUCACAGAGGACAGCUCCUCAGAAGGAAGCCUGGAAGCUCUUUGUCCCAGGGACCUCUCUGGGACUUCAUCCUCUGGGGCAUAAGUUCUGAGAAGGACCCAGAAGCAAGCCACUCCUCUGCACCGCCUCCGUGUCUGCUGUAGGUGGGCGGUAAAUAAGGCCCCCACA
rnacentral:misc_RNA from 1 species